rnacentral:rRNA from 1 species
AACGAACGCUGGCGGCAUGCCUAACACAUGCAAGUCGAACGAGACCUUCGGGUCUAGUGGCGCACGGGUGCGUAACGUGUGGGAACCUGCCCUUAGGUUCGGAAUAACUCCCCGAAAGGGGUGCUAAUACCGGAUAAUGUCUUCGGACCAAAGAUUUAUCGCCUUUGGAUGGGCCCGCGUUGGAUUAGCUAGUUGGUAGGGUAAAAGCCUACCAAGGCGACGAUCCAUAGCUGGUCUGAGAGGAUGAUCAGCCACACUGGGACUGAGACACGGCCCAGACUCCUACGGGAAGCAGAAGUGGGGAAUAUUGGACAAUGGGCGAAAGCCUGAUCCAGCAAUGCCGCGUGAGUGAUGAAGGCCUUAGGGUUGUAAAGCUCUUUUACCCGGGAUGAUAAUGACAGUACCGGGAGAAUAAGCUCCGGCUAACUCCGUG